ACACUUCAUGUUUUUAUUUCUAAAACCUGCAGAUGAAUUCCUUCAUUUCAUCCAGAUAAACUCCAAUCUCACACAUUUACCUCAGACCGGUGCAGAAAAUGGUAGAAAAACUCUGAUCUGACAGAGAAGGAGAUGCUUCAUAGUACUAGUCCACAUUCAGAGGACCUCAUGUUGUUAAAGUCAUCUGGAACCAGGACUGAGGAACUGCAGGAGCUGAUUGUCUGAUAAUGUGACCUUAGUUGGUCCAUGAGGGCUACAGAUCUGGGGCCUAUUUCACGAAGCAGGUUUAGUGAAAACUCUGAGUUUCUUAACCCUGAAAUGAGGGAAACUCAGAGUUUUCCGUUUCAUGAAGCGAGGUAACUUAACCCUGAGACAGAGGGGUAACUCUAGCCUGUUUCACAAAGAGGGGUAACUUCAACUCUCGGUCAGUUACCGCAGUAACAGACUCUAUGACUCUAACCUGGUCUCCAGCAGGUUUAUCUGAGAAAACCUCCAGUUUCUCUCCGUCUCCGCCCUCUUUCAGCCACACGCUGUUUCAUUUCCUCAUUCAUUCAGUCAGUAAGCGAGCGAGUUUUGGCGUAGAACAGCUUUUAUUAACGAUCCAGUGGAUAAAGGAGCAGCAUUACUGCACAGAUCAUUAAAUAUUCGUCGGUAGAUUGUUAUCAGACCGAGCAUAAAUGUUCUCACAUUUCCGGACAGUUAUCGGUUUGAGCGGUACCGUUUCGUGAUCGUUUCAAGUCCAUAAUCUACAUAAACAACCUAAUCCGUCCUUACAUUUACAUUACCAACCAGUCAUGCUCUCACAUCCAGCAGAUAUUGUGUGUUGCGCUGCGGUUCUUUGCAAAUGGAAGUUUUUAUAUGAUGUCAGAGAUGCAGAGUAAGACAACUGUAUGGAGGACAGUCAGAAAAGUUUUCCUGGCUCUGAAACCACUUUUACCAUCAUUGUGGACAUAAACCUGUCAGAACAUCAGGAGGAUCCACAGGAUUGCAGGUGAAUGAUGUAGAGAUCUGUUACAUUCAUUUAAAUCAUAUUCUGUUAAUGACAUUGUGCUGCAGCCUCAGACUGGGAUCAGUCAUUUUAAUUUCUUUUAGGAUUUCCCAGUGUGAUUGGCUGCAUAGAUGCACACACAUCCCCAUCACAGCUCCCUCACAUCAUGAACAGGAAGUCCAUUCACAGCAUAAAUGUGCAGGUAGGCUACAGGUAGACUGACUACUGUUUCUAAAUGUUAAAGACUGCAUCAUAGUUCAACAUCUGUCAUUCUCUGCACUGUCCAGAUCAUAUGUGAUGCUGCAUACAUCAUUUCUAAUGUGGAGGCCACGUGGUCUGGGUCUGUUCAUGACUCCAGGAUUUAUGGAGAGUCUAACCUGAGCAACAGACUGCAGCGUGGAGAGUUUGAUGGCCUUCUGCUGGGUGACAGGGGUUACCAUGACAACCCAGGCUGAUGACCUCAUACCCUGACCCUGAACCAGGCCCCCAACAGAACUUCAACCGGGCUCACUGCAGGACCAGAGCCCGGGUGGAGAUGACCAUAGGCCUGCUGAAAGCCCGUUUCCAGAGCCUACGUCUCCUCAGGGUGACCCCUGAGAGGGCCUGUGAUAUUACUGUGGCAUGUGUUGUUCUUCAUAAUAUUACCACUAUUAGAGGAGAGCAACACCCUGCCCUACAAACUGAAGACCCAGAUGAUGAGCCCAUCCACCUGCAGCUAUCCAGGACAGCAGAGCAGUCAGAGACACCGUAUGCAAGAAUCACUUUAGAGUUUAAGUCUCCAUCAUCACCACCACAGCAAAUAAAGACAUGAUACACAUUUCA